rnacentral:rRNA from 1 species
AACGUAGGAGGCAAGCGUUAUCCGGAGUUACUGGGCGUAAAGCGCGUGUAGGUGGGUUGGUAAGUUACUUAUGAAGCCCCUGGCUAAAACUAGGGGAGGUUGAGUGAUACUGCCAGUCUUGAAAUAGAGGAGAGGUUGACGGAAUUCCGCGUGUAGUGGUGAAAUGCGUAGAUAUCGGAAGGAACUCAGUGGCGAAAGCGACUCCUGGACCAUACUGACGCUCAUGUGCGAA